UAUAACAAAAUAUCGUGCGGAAAUCCAGGACUAUCGUGUUGCUGUGAGUGCUAUCCCUAUGCAUUCUUCAGCGUCAGUCUGAGGAGAGAUCAAUUCCGUUCAUCUUAACGCCCUUUUGUACUAGCAAUUGAACAACGCUUUUGCAAGGGCUGGUAGAACGAAUAUGC
rnacentral:snoRNA from 1 species